rnacentral:rRNA from 1 species
GAUGAACGCUAGCUACAGGCUUAACACGUGCAAGUCGAGGGGCAGCAUGAACUUAGCUUGCUAAGUUUGAUGGCGACCGGCGCACGGGUGAGUAACACGUAUCCAACCUGCCGAUGACUCGGGGAUAGCCUUUCGAAAGAAAGAUUAAUACCCGAUGGCAUAGUUCUUCCGCAUGGUAGAACUAUUAAAGAAUUUCGGUCAUCGAUGGGGAUGCGUUCCAUUAGGUUGUUGGCGGGGUAACGGCCCACCAAGCCUUCGAUGGAUAGGGGUUCUGAGAGGAAGGUCCCCCACAUUGGAACUGAGACACGGUCCAAACUCCUACGGGAGGCAGCAGUGAGGAAUAUUGGUCAAUGGACGAGAGUCUGAACCAGCCAAGUAGCGUGAAGGAUGACUGCCCUAUGGGUUGUAAACUUCUUUUAUACGGGAAUAAGGUGAGGCACGUGUGCCUUUUUGUAUGUACCGUAUGAAUAAGGAUCGGCUAACUCCGUG